GAUGAACGCUGGCGGCGUGCCUAAUACAUGCAAGUCGAGCGAACAGAUAAGGAGCUUGCUCCUUUGACGUUAGCGGCGGACGGGUGAGUAACACGUGGGCAACCUACCUAUAAGACUGGGAUAACUUCGGGAAACCGGAGCUAAUACCGGAUAAUAUUUCGAACCGCAUGGUUCGAUAGUGAAAGAUGGUUUUGCUAUCACUUAUAGAUGGACCCGCGCCGUAUUAGCUAGUUGGUAAGGUAACGGCUUACCAAGGCGACGAUACGUAGCCGACCUGAGAGGGUGAUCGGCCACACUGGAACUGAGACACGGUCCAGACUCCUACGGGAGGCAGCAGUAGGGAAUCUUCCGCAAUGGGCGAAAGCCUGACGGAGCAACGCCGCGUGAGUGAUGAAGGUCUUCGGAUCGUAAAACUCUGUUAUUAGGGAAGAACAUACGUGUAAGUAACUGUGCACGUCUUGACGGUACCUAAUCAGAAAGCCACGGCUAACUACGUG
rnacentral:rRNA from 1 species